AACUUUCUGUGAGGGACGCGCCACCGGGGAGACGGUUCUGACAGAAACAAGCGCGUGGCGCCCUCAGCGGCCCUGCUCCGCGGCGGACUCAGGGCAGACCUCUCAGAGGAGGUGACAAUCCAUCCAAUGUUGACAGACUGUGACGGCACCGGACCCAUCUGGCUCGACUUUCACGCGAGGAAGCCGGAAGUUGUUUCCCCGUUGCCAGGGACCCCAGGUUGAAGGUCAGGGAACCCGGAGCCUGCCCAGAUGCACCAAGCUAACAACCAGGGGUGGACCCUGAGUGCUCAGGCGGACGAAAGAGCGGGAACUGAAUUAAGAAGUGGACGCUGCCCGCCUCAUGGUAUGAUCCAAUCAGAUGGAGCCCUGGCAUCACCCCUCCCGUAAUAAGAUCCAAUCAGAUGAAGCCCUGGCAUUACUCCAUGGCAGGAUCCAAUCAGAGGGAAUCCUGGCAUCGCCUCCUGGCAUGAUCCAGAUGGAGCCCUGGCAUUACCUCAGAGCAGGAUCCAAUCAGAUGGAGCCCUGGAGUGACUCCUAUGGCAGGAUCCAAUCAGAUUGCACCUCAUUACCCUACACUUAUAAAACCUGACCAACCCCAGCUGGGGGAGACACACCGGAGCGCUCCUUCACAUCUGCCUGAGGAGAUCUGACUGACAGGCGCUGACGCUGUUUCUCAGAGGCCGCUGCUGUGGUGUCACGUCAGCAGGCAGCGAGCCUGCUGACCGCUCGGCAGCAAGACGAAGGCCCACGUGGAUACAGAGAGGCGGCGAGCGUCCCCAAUGGAGCGGAAUGUUCUCCAGAACCGGAGACCGGGGCGGGCGCGACUCCUCAGGGAAGCGCGAGGCCGGGUGGCAGGCGCUGCCUCACAGACAGAGGAGCCGGGAGCGGGACGGGGACCCUGGACAGCACUCGGGCACGACCCGCUCAGACCAGCCCAGGCUUCUGAACUUUAAGCAGCAGAGAAAGUGAAGUGUGUACAAGCAAUCCGAGAGCGCCCCGGCAUCCAAGAAGGCAAGAUAAUUAAAUUGAGGAGAAAUGACCAGAAAAAGAGAAAAUCAUCAGUAUCCUGGGACUAUUUUUAGUGACAGAAGAAAACAAAUCACCAAAUAGCUCUUCGUUUGGCUCAAUUGGUGCUUCUAGAAUCCUGUCCUAGCACCUGCUAUUUCUGUUGUCUUCAGAGGUGCUAUGUGACCCUGACAUUGGAAAGGUGACCACACUCAGGAAAAGUGCAGUCCGACAGGAGUCUCCUGUCUUCUGCCAGCAUCCGAGAAGCUGCAGCCACGGAUGUGUUAACGUCAUGUGGGGUCAUUCUCAGGCGACUCUCAGUUCCUGUCACACCACAGUUGGAAAACGGAACCGGACUUAAAGGCUUUCUGGAAGAGGCAACACCGGAGAUGGAGCUGGAGGAAUUUACUAACAACUAAGGGAAGAAGAGUAAGGCCGCUGUAACAGAGAAAGGAGUUCCCAUGAAUAAAGACAAGGUGCUGUUCAGAAAGCAAAAAGACCAAGCCUGGAUGUGCACAGGAAGAAGGAGAUCCGUGACGACGCUGGAGUGACACUGUGUGUGGGGCCCCAGAUAAGAAUACAAAAGGAAGAGAUCUACAAAAUGGGUGGAUAAAAUCCUUAUUUUGGCAUAAAAGGAUCUGAGGCUCAUAUCAAGACAUCCUACAAUGAUGGAAGGUGUCACUACCAAGCUUUCCCGUUUCAUAAAAACUCAAUCAGUACCUUCGAAGCAUGGAGAUGUUACUCGCCUGGGCUCUGAGACACCGUGCCCAAACGGUUUCCGGCUGGGAACGGCGUGCUGUCUGCACCAGGACAGAGCUUAGGCAGUAAUUCCCAGCUACCCCGGCCUCAGUGUUGACAGAAAGCAGUGCUUGCACCCCAAUUAAUGCAUGGUUCAUAGGGCCCCGUGGAGUUUGCACACUGACCGAAGCACACACAGAUUAAGACAGAGCUGAGACGGGAGGAAGGAAUACGUGAGCAACACUUCUGGGAAACCCACGUGAGCUCACGCUCGCUGACGCAUUUUCAGGAGCAAACCAUCUGGAGGAAGAGCUGGAAUGAAGCCAGUUGGGUCU